rnacentral:hammerhead_ribozyme from 1 species
GCACUCCUGAGGAGUCCCAUAAUAGGACGAAACGGCCGUCCAGUGU